CCCUUAGAUGUCCUGGGCCGCACGCGCGCUACACUGAACGGAUCAGCGCGUUUUCCCUUCCCGAGAGGGACGGGUAACCUGCUGAACCCCGUUCGUGGUAGGGAUCGGGGCUUGCAAUUAUUCCCCGUGAACCAGGAAUGCCCAGUAAGUGCAAGUCAUCAGCUUGCAUUGAUUACGUCCCUGCCCUUUGUACACACCGCCCGUCGCACCUACCGAUUGAAUGGUCCGGUGAAAUCUUCGGAUCUGAGAGAUGUCUGAUUAAUUUCGGACGCCUUUUGGAAAAGUUGCUUAAACCUUACCAUUUAGAGGAAGGUGAAGUCGUAACA
rnacentral:rRNA from 1 species